rnacentral:rRNA from 1 species
CCCGCUCAGAAACUUAAAGGAAUUGACGGGGACCCGCACAAGCAGCGGAGCAUGUGGUUUAAUUCGAAGCAACGCGAAGAACCUUACCAGAUCUUGACAUCCAAUUGACCAUCUUUAAUCGAGAUUUUGCCUUCGGGUACAAUUGAGACAGGUGGUGCAUGGUUGUCGUCAGCUCGUGUCGUGAGAUGUUGGGUUAAGUCCCGCAACGAGCGCAACCCUUGUGUUUAGUUGCAAACAGGUCAAGCUGUGCACUCUAGACAGACUGCCGUGGACAACACGGAGGAAGGUGGGGAUGACGUCAAAUCAUCAUGCCCCUUAUGAUCUGGGCUACACACGUGCUACAAUGGCCGGUACAACGGGCAGCGAAGGAGCGAUCCGGAGCGAAUCCUAAAAAGCCGGUCCCAGUUCGGAUUGCAGGCUGAAACUCGCCUACAUGAAGUUGGAGUUGCUAGUAAUCGUAGAUCAGCAUGCUACGGUGAAUACGUUCCCGGGCCUU